rnacentral:rRNA from 1 species
UACAGAGGGUGCAAGCGUUAAUCGGAAUUACUGGGCGUAAAGCGUGCGUAGACGGUUAUGUAAGUCAGAUGUGAAAGCCCCGGGCUCAACCUGGGAAUUGCAUUUGAGACUGUGUAGCUAGGGUGCGGAAGAGGGAAGCGGAAUUCCUGGUGUAGCGGUGAAAUGCGUAGAUAUCAGGAGGAACACCGGUGGUGUAGACGGCUCUCUGGACCGUAACUGACGCUGAGACACGAAAGCGUGGGUAGCAAACAGG